UUAAAUUAUAAAAUAAUAAAUUUGAGUAGUAAUAGUUAUAUUCUUGAAACUUAAUAAAUUUGGCAGUAUUUUAAUCUAUUUAGAGGAGUUUGUUUUUUAAUUGAUAGUCCUCAUUUAAUCUUACUUAAUUUUGAAUAAUUUAUAUAUCGUCGUCAUCAGAAUAUUUUUAAAAAAUAAUAAGUUUCUUAAUUAAUAAAAAUUAAAAAUGUCAGAUCAAGGUGUAGUUUAUGAUUAAGUAAAAAUGAACUACAAUAAAUUUAUUUAUUAAUGGAUUUUGAAUUGAAAUAUUUUUAAGAAGGUGGAUUUGAUAGUAAAUUUAAUAAUAGAAUUAAGUUGAUUUUAGUUAUAAAAUGUGU
rnacentral:rRNA from 1 species